UUCUCAGACUCUGUAUUAAUAUUACAAACAGAAUAUGCAGGAAAUAUGUACAGCGUUAAAAGCAAAAAAUUUCUGGAACAAAACUGUAUCUACAAACCAAAGUGUGAAGUACUGAGUGUGAGCUCCCUCUGCACUUAAUGUGUAUUUUAACCCUUUUGUUCAGACAAUGAGGUGUACUGAAUUAAUUCAACAUGUUACACAUUUUCUUAUUGCUGUAGGUCUUUUUAUUAUAGAAAUGGAGGUCAAAGUUAAUACUUUACCCUGUAGACACCAUUUAGUUCUGAUUGUUUUAUUUGUAUUUCAAAUAUUGCGCACACAUGUCCUGUAUUUUCCUCCUGUAUCUGAAGAAAAUACAGUACUGCAUAAAAUACAGCAUUAAAAAAAGCAUUCAUUCAUUAUUUAAAAGUCAUUAUUUAAAAGGACAGAUGCUUAAAUAUGUUUCAAUAUGUACUCCUAAUAUGGCAUCUGAUAAACUUGUUAAAGGGUUCAUCUUUCUUUUAAAUGAUAUUCCAUUAUACUGUACUAAAAGUACAUAAAACUUAUAAAAAAUUCAUAUUGCAGGUUUGAGACAUACUGUAAUAUGAGGCAUGAUUUUGUUAGAAAUACUAAUCUUUGCAUUUGAUUUUCACUGAAAAAUAAAAAAAAGAUAAUGUGAUUUUUGUAUUUGCACUAAAUAGGCAUGUUCCUUUAGAUCUGCAGAAUAUGGUUCUGUAGUACCACAAUGCUUUAUUUGCAAUAAUCAUAUGCUGAGACUUAUUUCACCUUCAUCAAAAAAUUACAUUCUAUGAUUUGACAAAUUGUUCAGCCCUAGUUUGAGUAACACGUGCCACUCUUAAUAUUGUAAUAUCAGAUCAGCAGAAUGUUCCCAUAUUUGUGAAGGCCAGUGAAUGCUCUGCAGGGCGACAUAUUAAAACACCCUCAUAAACUCCUUUUUUUUUUUUGUUUUUGGUGGAUCUUGUCACCAUUAACAUCUAUUUCCAGCAAGAAAAUCACCAACAAAAAAACAGUUUGCCGGCAUGAAUGUGUAAAAUCCCUUUAAUGCAGUUUGCCUUGUAGAAUUAGACUAUUGUACAGCUGCUUCUUUAAAAAACAAAACAAACAUAUAACAUCACUAAUGAGAACAUUAAUGUACA